rnacentral:tRNA from 1 species
GGCGCCUUAGCUCAGUCGGUAGAGCAACGGACUGAAAAUCCGUGUGUCCCCCGUUCGAUUCGGGGAGGCGCCACGA